CGUGGAGACAGGUGGUGUAUGGCUGUCGUCAGCUCGUGUCGUGAGAUGUUGGGUUAAGUCCCGCAACGAGCGCAACCCUCACCCCUAGUUGCCACCGGGUAAAGCCGAGCACUCGAGGGGAACUGCCAGCGUCAAGCUGGAGGAAGGCGGGGAUGACGUCAAGUCAUCAUGCCCCUUACGCCCUGGGCUACACACGUGCUACAAUGGCCGGUACAAAGGGACGCGAGACUGCAAGGUGGAGCUAAUCCCAAAAAACUGGUCUAAGUUCAGAUUGCAGUCUGCAACUCGACUGCAUGAAGGAGGAAUCGCUAGUAAUCGCGCAUCAGCACGGCGCGGUGAAUACGUUCCCGGGCCUUGUACACACCGCCCGUCACACCACGAAAGCUGUCUGUACUCGAAGUCGCUGAG
rnacentral:rRNA from 1 species